rnacentral:rRNA from 1 species
CUUAACAAACAGACCGUGAACAUGUCAUCCAUCCCGCACGUGGUUCUACCCGUGCAAGGCCCCCGACCUUUCCGAAGGAGAGGGGCCGCAAAAGAACCCACGGCGCCGAAGGCGUCAAGGAAAACUGAUAUUGCCUUGCUCGGGGCUGUGCUCGGCUUGCCGAGCACACCUCGUGCAGCGAUGCUAUCUUAAUCCACACGACUCUCGGCAACGGAUAUCUCGGCUCUCGCAUCGAUGAAGAACGUAGCAAAAUGCGAUACCUGGUGUGAAUUGCAGAAUCCCGCGAACCAUCGAGUUUUUGAACGCAAGUUGCGCCCGAGGCCUUCUGGUUGAGGGCACGCCUGCCUGGGCGUCACGCCAAAAGACACUCCCAACCCAAACCUGGGGAAGGACGUGGUGUUUGGCUCCCCGUGCUGCAAGGCGCGGUGGGCCGAAGUUUGGGCUGCCGGCAUAACUUGUCGGGCACCGCACGUGGUGGGCGACAUCUAGUUGUUCUCGGUGCAGUGUCCUGGCAUGCAGCUGGCUUAUUGGCCUCAAGGACCCAUACACGACCGAAGCGUUUAGGCGCUCGGACCGCGACCCCAGGUCAGACGGGACUACCCGCUGAGUUUAAGCAUAUCAAUAAGCGGAGGAA